rnacentral:rRNA from 2 species
UACGAAGGGUGCAAGCGUUACUCGGAAUUACUGGGCGUAAAGCGUGCGUAGGUGGUCGUUUAAGUCCGUUGUGAAAGCCCUGGGCUCAACCUGGGAACUGCAGUGGAUACUGGGCGACUAGAAUGUGGUAGAGGGUAGCGGAAUUCCUGGUGUAGCAGUGAAAUGCGUAGAGAUCAGGAGGAACAUCCAUGGCGAAGGCAGCUACCUGGACCAACAUUGACACUGAGGCACGAAAGCGUGGGGAGCAAAC